CCUACGGGGGGCUGCAGUAAGGAAUAUUGGUCAAUGGACGCAAGUCUGAACCAGCCAUGCCGCGUGGAGGAUGAAGGUCCUCUGGAUUGUAAACUUCUUUUAUUUGGGAAGAAACUCCCGAUUUCCAUCGGGAUUGACGGUACCAGAUGAAUAAGCACCGGCUAACUCCGUGCCAGCAGCCGCGGUAAUACGGAGGGUGCAGGCGUUCUUGGGAUUAAAUGGGUCGUAGGGGGGCGGGUAAGUGCGUGGUGAAAUCUCCGGGCUUAACCCGGAAAAUGCCAUUGAUACUAUUUGUCUUGAAUACUCUGGAGGUGAGCGGAAUAUGUCAUGUAGCGGUGAAAUGCUUAGAUAUGACAUAGAACACCCAUUGCGAAGGCAGCUCACUACGGAAAUAUUGACGCUGAGGCACGAAAGCGUGGGGAUCAAACAGGAUUAGAUACCCGUGUAGUC
rnacentral:rRNA from 1 species